GCCCGGGGACUCCUAUAGCAUCCUAUAGGGCUCCCGGCAGCGCCCCUUCCCCUAUAGCCCCUAUACCUCCAUCCCCUAUAGACCCACCCCCCAUAGUCCCUAUAGCCCCAUCCCCUUUAGCCCCUAUACCUCCAUCCCCUAUAGACUCACCUCCCAUAGCCCCUAUAGCCCCAUCCCCUAUAGCCCCUAUACCUCCAUCCCCUAUAGCCCCACCCCCUAUAGCCCCACCCCCUAUAGCUCCAUCACCUAUAGCCCCUAUAUCUCUCUCCCCUAUAGUCCCUAUAUCUCCAUCCCCUAUAGACCCAGCCCAUAUAGCCCCUAUAGCUCCAUCCCCUAUAGCCCCUUCCCCUAUAGGUCCGAUAGCCCCAUCCCCUAUAGCUCCAUCCCCUAUAGCUCCUCUCCCCUAUAGAUCCCCCCCCGCCUCCAUUCCCCUAUAGACCCUACUCCUACAGAGCUCCUUCUCCUAUAGGGGCUCCCCCUAUACCCCCCGGGACACUCCUCUAUAGGCACCUUCACCCCGUCCCCUAUAGGGCAGCCCCCUAUAGCCCCUAUAGGAUGACCCUUCCUACAUCGGAGCCCCAUAGGUUGGCCCUAUAGGUCCCUAUAGGGGGGUCCGGCAGAGGCUGAGCCCCUAAAGCCCCCGACUCCUAUAGAUCAGACCCAUAGGGGGCCUAGAGCUCCACCCCCUAUAAGCCCCUAUAGCCCCUAUAGACCCCUAAGCCUCCUAUAGCCCCCUAUAAAGCUCACUAUAGAUUCCCCUGUAACGCCAAAUAGAUCUCCCUAUGGAACCCCAUAGUCCCCCCCGCCCCCUAUAGAUCCCCCUAUAGGUGCUCCUAUAGCCCCCUAUAGAUCCCCCUAUAGCCCCCUAUAGAUUCACGUAUAGAUCCCCCCUUGCCCCCUAUAAAUCCCCCCAUAGCCUCUUAUAGCUCCCUAUAGAUCCCCCUAUAGCUCCCCCUAGGGAUCCCUCUAUAGAUCUCCCUAUAGAUCACUCUACAGCCCACUGUAGAUCUGCCUAUAGAUCCGCCUAUAGACCCCCUAUAGCUCCCCCUAUAGAUCUGCCUAUAAAUUCCCCCAUAGACCCCCUCGCCCCCUAUAGAUCCCCCUAUAUAGCCCCAUAAGGCCCCUCUAGCCCCUAUAUCCCCGAUAGAUCCCCCUAUAGAUCCCCCUAUAGAUCCCCCUAUAGCCCCUAUAGCCCCUAUAUACCCUAUACCCCCCUAUAGCGCUUAUAAGUCCUCUAGCCCCCUAAGGCCCCUAUAGCCCCUAUAUCCCCUAUAGAUCCACCUAUAGAUCCCCCUAUAGCCCCUAUAGAUCCUCCUAUAGCCCCCUAAGGCCCCUAUAUCCCCUAUAGCCACCUAAGGCCACUAGAGCCUCUAAGGCCCCUCUAGCCCCUAUAUCCCCUCUAGCUCCCCCUAUAGAUCUCCCUAUAGCCCCUAUAGAUCCUCCUGUAGCCCCUCUAGCCCCUCUAGCUCCCCCUAUAGAUCCCCCUAUAGCCCCUGUAGAUCCUCCUCUAGCCCCCUAAGGCCCGUAUAGCCCACAUAUCCCUUAUAGCUCCCCCUAUAGAUCCCCCUAUAGCCCCUAUAGCUUCCCCUAUAGAUCCCCCUAUAGCCCCUAUAGAUCCUUCCUGUAGCCCCCUAAGGCCCGUAUAGCCCCUCUAGCUCCCCCUAUAGAUCCCCCUAUAGAUCCUCCUCUAGCCCCCUAAGGCCCGUGUAGCCCCUAUAUCUCUUAUAGCCCCCCCUAUAGAUCCCCCUAUAGCCCCUAUAGCUUCCCCUAUAGAUCCCCCAUAGCCCCUAUAGACCCUUAUAGCUCCCCCUAUAGAUCCCCCUAUAGUCCCUAUAGAUCUUCCUCUAGCCCCCUAAGGCCCGUAUAGCCCCUAUAUCCCUUAUAGCUCCCCCUAUAGAUCCCCCUAUAGCCCCUGUAGAUCCUCCUCUAGCCCCCUAAGGCCCGUAUAGCCCCUAUAUCCCUUAUAGCCCCCCCUAUAGCCCCUAUAGAUCCUUCCUGUAGCCCCCUAAGGCCCGUAUAGCCCCUCUAGCUCGCCCUAUAGAUCCCCCAUAGAUCCUCCUCUAACCCCCUAAGGCCCAUAUAGCCCCUAUAUCCCUUAUAGCCCCCCCCAUAGAUCCCCCUAUAGCCCCUAUAGCUUCCCCUAUAGAUCCCCCUAUAGCCCCUAUAGCCCCUAUAGACCCUUAUAGCUCCCCCUAUAGAUCCCCCUAUAGCCCCUAUAGAUCCUCCUCUAGCCCCUAAGGCCCGUCUAGCCCCUAUAUCCCUUAUAGCUCCCCCUAUAGAUCCCCCUAUAGCCCCUAUAGAUCCUCCUCUAGCCCCAUAAGGCCCCUCUAGCCCCUCUAGCUCCCCCUAUAGAUCCCCCUAUAGAUCCUCCUCUAGCCCCCUAAGGCCCGUCUAGCCCCUAUAUCCCUUAUAGCCCCCCCUAUAGAUCCCCCUAUAGCCCCUAUAGCUUCCCCUAUAGAUCCCCCUAUAGCCCCUAUAGACCCUUAUAGCUCCCCCUAUAGAUCCCCCUAUAGUCCCUAUAGAUCCUCCUCUAGCCCCCUAAGGCCCGUGUAGCCCCUAUAUCCCUUAUAGCUCCCCCUAUAGAUCCCCCUAUAGAUCCCCCUAUAGCCCCUGUAGAUCCUCCUGUAGCCCCCUAAGGCCCCUCUAGCUCCCCCUAUAGAUCCCCCUAUAGAUCCUCCUGUAGCCCCCUAAGGCCCCUCUAGCUCCCCCUAUAGAUCCAUAGGAUGCAGUUCCUGCGGCACCGCCUGUCGGACGGGAAUUUCCUGGCGGGGGGAGGGGCGGGGGGGAAACCCCCCCCCAGCGGCCCCGCCCCCCCCCCCUGCUGCUCGUCAUCGGCCCCCCCGACACCGACUGGGUGCAGCUCUUCAGUGGCAAAUCCGUCCAUGGGGACGUGGAGCUGCGCGUCGAGCAGGGCCCUUUGCAGCAGAGAAAUCAUGAUGGCAACAACUGCAGUCAUGGCAGAAACCAGCCCUGCAACCAAGAGAAGAGCCCUGGUAGCUGUCCCCUCUCUGCACCAGAGCUGAUGUCCAUGAGGCCCCACAGCGAGGAGGACCAGGCUCACAAAGCCUUUUCUGGGGGGAUAACAGGAUGGUUUCAACCACUGCAGCGUGGAGAAAAUCCCCAGUGUGACCAGAGCCAUAGGCUGCGCUGGACAGUGCCAACAGACCGCCAUGGAAAUAAGACUCGCUUUGAAUCCAUUCCCAAAGCACAGCCAGGCAAAUGAUGACUCUUCCCAAAUGAGCAAAAAGAGUCCAUUGCUGCUACUGCAGUCAU